AUGGCCGCCAACCAAACACCCAGAGCUCCCACCGACGCUGAUCCUGCCAUUCCCACAACGGAGGCACCAUCCAAAAUCCCGAAAUCGAUCCACCUCGAGGGCAGGGAGGCGCGCCUCCGCCGGGUCCGCGAGAACCUCCGCCUCAAUGACCCGCCGCCGGCCCCGUCCGCCGCCCACGACGAAGGCCUCCGCGCCCUCGGCCUCCUCGACUUCGUCCGCCUCGACCUCCCCUCCUCCGGCGCCCCGCGCCUGGACCUCGUCGCGGAGCUCAUUGCCAACUACAAACCGUACCCGUAUCCCGGAUGGAGCUCCUCCGUCCGUGGCAAAGAAAUCGUGGUCUUCCUCCAUUCCUUCGCCGAGGCGCUCUGCCUUCCUGCAGGGAGACCUACCAUGUCUUUUCCUGCCAGUGCCGUCGUGACCUCCGCCGCCAGAGAGUUCAUGAAGGUUUACGUCUUGGCGCCAUUGCAGGCUUCCACCGACAGGAAGCGCAGGCUGCCUACCGAGGUGGAUGAUGCAUUGAGGUCUUUGCAGGAUCUUCGGGCGCAUUAUGUUGACUGGACGGAGCUCCUCUGGUACCAAGUGGAGGAGGAGAUUCAACAACUGAUUUGGAAGAAUAGGACCAGCAGGGCAUGCUACUACGGUGCGUACCUGCAGAGGCUCAUCUGGGUGGUGAGGCCAGAUCUCUUCCAGCUGCCACCGGCGCCGUCGGUGAUAGAAGCGCCACCUCCGCCAGCGGCAUUGCGCCCCCACAAGGAACGACAAAGCAUUCGAUCAGCAGUCAAUAAGAGUCAAAAGCCUUGCUCCUCUGAAGCGAGGUCUGAGAAGAUUGAAGCAAGGUCCGAGAAGAUUGAUGGAACAUCCAAGGCUGUGGUAGAUGCGGCGUUGGACAAGAUCGAUGCAGCAUCCAAGGUGGUGAUAGACGCGGCGUUGGAGAAGAUCGAUGCAGCAUCCAAGGUGAUGAUAGAUGCGGCGUUAGAGAAGAUCGAUGCAGCAUCCAAGGUGGUGAUAGGUGCGGCAUCCAAGAUGUUGAUAGAUUCGGCGUUGGAGAAGAUCAAUGCAUCAUCCAAGGUGAUGAUAGAUUCGGCGUUGGAGAAGAUCAAUGCAUCAUCCAAGGUGAUGAUAGAUUCAGCAUUGGAGAAGAUCAAUGCAUCAUCCAAGGUGAUUGAAGCCACAUCCAAGCAACUUGAUGACGCUAGAGCACGCGAGCAAGAUGGUGACAUACAGGAAAUGCAGUCACUCGUCCAGACGUUGGUUACCAAGGAACGGCAAAGCAAUGGAGAGCUGCAACGUGCUCGGAAAAUGCUGAUAGAUGAACUGCCGAGGUUCACAAAUGUGGAGGCACAUAUAGGCGUCAAAAGGAUGGGUGAGCUGGAUCUGAAAGCAUUUGCCAAUGCUUGCAGCAAAAAUGUAGCACAAGAGGAUGCACAAGUUAACUCUGCUAUUCUUUGUUCAAGAUGGCAAGCUGAAAUCGCAAACCCAGGCUGGCAUCCUUUUAGGAUAGUUACGGUUGAUGGUAAAGAGAUGGAAAUUCUCUCAGAGGACGAUGACAAGCUUCGCAGCUUAAAAGAGGAGCAUGGAGACGAAAUCUACAGCUUGGUGACAAAGGCGCUGCUUGAGAUGAACGAGUACAACCCCAGCGGCCGCUACCCUGCACCAGAGCUGUGGAACGGCAAGGAUGAUCGGAAAGCGACACUGGAGGAAGCCAUCCAGUUCCUCCUCAAACAGCUGCAGUCACACAAGAGGAAGCGCCGCUGA
rnacentral:rRNA from 1 species